rnacentral:hammerhead_ribozyme from 1 species
GAACUGCUGAAGAGUCCCAAACUAGGGCGAAACAGCCGUCCGGUUC